ACGGCUCAGUAACACGUGGACAACCUGCCCUUAGGUUGGGUAUAAACCCGGGAAACUGGGUAUAAUACCCGAUAGGUCUCGAUUGCUGGAAUGCAUCGAGAUUUAAAGCUCCGGCGCCUAAGGAUGGGUCUGCGGCCUAUCAGGUAGUAGUGGGUGUAGUGUACCUACUAGCCUACGACGGGUACGGGUUGUGAGAGCAAGAGCCCGGAGAUGGAUUCUGAGACACGAAUCCAGGCCCUACGGGGUGCAGCAGGCGCGAAAACUUUACAAUGCGGGAAACCGUGAUAAGGGAACUCCGAGUGUCCGUCAAUGCGGACUGUCCGUAUGUUUAAGAAGCAUGCGAAGAAAGGGCCGGGCAAGACCGGUGCCAGCCGCCGCGGUAAUACCGGCGGCUCGAGUGGUGGCCACUAUUACUGGGCUUAAAGCGUUCGUAGCUGGGUUGUUAAGUCUCUUGGGAAAUCUAUCGGCUUAACCGAUAGGCGUCCAAGGGAUACUGGCAAUCUAGGGACCGGGAGAGGUGAGGGGUACUUCAGGGGUAGGAGUGAAAUCCUGUAAUCCUUGGGGGACCACCUGUGGCGUAGGCGCCUCACCAGAACGGCUCCGACAGUGAGGGACGAAAGCUGGGGGAGCAAACCGGAUUAGAUACCCGGGUAGUCCCAGCCGUAAACGAUGCGCGUUAGGUGUAUCGAUGACCACGAGUCAUCGAGGUGCCGAAGGGAAACCGUGAAACGCGCCGCCUGGGAAGUACGGUCGCAAGGCUGAAACUUAAAGGAAUUGGCGGGGGAGCAC
rnacentral:rRNA from 1 species